CUGUGUCAGCUACCCCUGUCAGAAUGGAGGGUCCUGUUCCAACAUCCACAGCCUCUCGGACUUCACCUGCCACUGUAUGCCAGGAUAUAGGGGCCGAUAUUGUGA